rnacentral:tRNA from 1 species
GCCACCGUAGCUCAGUUGGUAGAGCAAUUCACUCGUAAUGAAUAGGUCAGAGGUUCAAUUCCCCUCGGUGGCUCAA